rnacentral:lncRNA from 1 species
AGUAAGAAAAUAACCAGUAUUUAAAUAGGCAAGCAGAAAACACACAUAAUUAUUCAAAUAACAAUAGCCAGAUUCACUAAAAGCUCUACAAAUGACACGUAAUACAAGCUCUAGCAUAUACAAUGCUUUACAAGCUCUACAAAUGCAAAGCUCUACAGUACUUUACAAGCUCUCCAAGUAAUGUUACAAGCUCUACAGCAUGGAGCUCCUUCAACAACGAUCAAAUGUCGGACUCACGGACAGACAUAGUCAGGACUGGGCUGACAAAAAUACAACAUGCCUUCCACAGUCGCCCUGUUACAUGAAUCGGCCGAGAAGAAUCAGAAAAACUGGAUCCAAUAUAAUAUGAACAUUCCAUUCAAAAAAAGUAGUAAAGGGGUAAAGGACAUAAUGAUAAACAGAUUUCAGCUAGUACCAAGGUUUUUUAGCCGAGCUAGUUAAAAUGAGAUAUUCAUACAAGACAAUAGAGACUAUAUGAAUAUGCAUGGCACAAGUGCAGGUCCUGGUUACUGGCUACACAUGUAACACCAAUAAAUGGAUAGAACAAUAACGGGAACAACUCCAGAUUACACACAAAGCUCUGUCCAUAGUGCCAGCUAUGGAUAAAAUCAUGCACACUCCCAACAGAACUCAGUCACACAGUAUAAUUCUAACUAUAAUAUAACCAAGAACUAAAGAUUGUCACAUAGUAUAAUUCUGACUAUAAUAUAACCAGAGAACUAAAGAUUCUACGUACUUAGAACUCAACUAAUAAGUGAGAAUGAUCUGAUUGUAUGCAAACAAUCUUUUUUUAUUUGUUUAUAUUACAAAAACAGACAUAUCUUCCUUUAUGUGAAGAAGUCUGCUUCCUUCUUUAGUUAGUAGUAAUCGUUCCAUGCAAAUCAACCGUGUGUGUGUGCUUGAUCAUGGUCUCGAGAUUACAUGCAUAGAGGAACAGAAUCCUAAACAAAAUAGUAUCAAACAGCGGUGGGUGCUCAACCUAUUUACCAUACACAAGCAACACUUAAAUCAUAGCAUGUGCAUAUACUUGUGUCACAUCAGGGGGUUCAGAAUGUACUCAACAUAAUCUAAUAAAAAGGAUUGGGAGCAGAGGGAGAGGGAGGUGGAGAUGGACGUGCUACCUGUUGCUGCGGUGGUGCCUCUUGGUGGUCGUGCUUGAGCUCCUCCUGAAGCUGCUCACUAACCUGCAAGACAAACAAGACCAUGGGUGAGCUGCAGCACAGGCACAUACAUUAAGUGAAGAUAAGGAGAAGAACCUGGAAGAAGAGAGGUGCUCUGUCCUCCGUCCGUGCCCGUCCUCCUCCUCCGUGCCGAUGUCAAACAACCUCUGCUCGUCGUUUGCGAGCACCAUGCGCCUUGGUUGGCCAUGACGCCCUUGUCCUCUGUUGCAUGGAUGAAAACCAAAGAAUCAGUACAGCUACACUGGCACAUAAUACAGACAUGGUUCAGUUGAGAUCUACUAAACUACAUCAUCACAGGAACGACGAGCAGUUUUAGAUCUUAAAAACUAAUGUUCCAUGCAUAGUCUUAGUGCUCCAUCAAAGAAUCAACUAAAUUUGCUCUCAAGCAUACAAACAAAGUUUAGGGAAAACCAAACAUGAACAAGCACUUAUUGUGUAGGACACAUAGCUAUUUCAUAAGCACUCAGUGUGGACAUGUGUGCUACAUGUAUUGUGCACAAAAAGGUGAGGCUCCCAACAGCCCAAUAUUAUCCCAAUAUUAUGACUACUACAGUUCAGAUUUUGAUAAUAAAACUGACAUGUGUGGACGAUGCGGAGCAGCCGUGGAGUCUCACGGAUCAACAAGCGUGUAACAACAUAAACAACAAUAGUUUAAGUUGGGCUUGCUCCCCUCUUCUCCUGCUCGUUGUUUUUCUCCUUAGCUUGCUCCUUCUUCUCCUGGGCGUGCUCCUUCUUCUCCUACAACAGCAGCAACAGCAGGUUAAUGACAACAGUAGUUUGACAACAGCAGCAGGUCAAUAACAAAAAAAACCCAGUUACUAAAUCUGACUAAUACUACAAAAACAACAAAGCAUUUAGUCCCAAACUAAAUCAGAUGCAUUCUUUCUUUGUCCUUUGGAUGAUUAGAAAUGCUCAGGUUCUGAAGUGCCAACGGUUCUGGUUGUCAACAAGGUAGAUUGCACACCAUUUGUUUCAGGAGAAGAGUUUGAGAAAUUCAGUGGAAUUUUCAGAAAACAUGUGCACACAUUUGCAGUCUACACACCAGAAUACCUUGUCAAGUAGCCAGGCAUGAUGAGACUGAACAUGUCAGGUGGCACCGCGAGCGCCAUUGUUGGAGUUCAGAGAGAAAUCAUCGUCCGAGGCAGACAGGAGCAAGCUCCCGCUACUGUUGAAGCUUAUGGUGUUGACAGCACCUUUGUGCUUCUGCAGCCUCCUCUUCUGGAUGCCCAGCGAGUGCACAAAGUCCUGCACGGCAAGCCAAACAGAAGCUCAAUUUUACCCUUGACUCGAAUGAAAAGAAAAAGGCCCGGCUGAUAAUAUCCUAUGAUAGAUCGGGUUGGACAUCAUACGGCCGCUUGAUUAAUUAGCGUUGUUUGAUUUCAGUAUGCGAACCUGCCUUCGGCAUUUCUACAAGAGGGUACUGAAUAUUAACUGAACAUUCCAUGGCACAAAUUCUCCAAAACAAGACCCCGCUCGCAUGUGCGCAAGGCACAACCUGCAGGUGUCGUCGACGCCAUUAGUUGCAGCCUGACAUCUCUUUAUUUUUUUUCUCAAAAUAAAAAUAAAAUCUGCAGACUGACUUGGAGUUGGAGAGACUGACCAAGCCUAGGUGAGAAUCAGAUCAACCGCGCAGCAGCUCUCUGCUGGAGCUGGCAACGCGCCAGCGCCUAAUGCUGCUGGAUUUGAAGGUCGAAUGGGUGGCUCAGGCAGAGUGGGAGAAUUGGGAGGGGGACGGACCUCGGAGGCCCUGACGGCGCCGGCGAAGCGCCUGGGCGGAGGCGGCAGUCCUCGCGCGCCCGCAGCCCUACCACCCGCUCCCGCUCCGCAGCAUCCCCUCCUCCCUCCUCCGGCAGCAUCCCCUCCUCCUCGAGGGCUCCUCCUCCUCUGUCGGUGCUGCCACUGGGUGGUUCCUAUUUGACGCUCGCGUGCAUGUUUGAACCGUAGCCAACUCCGUCUUCAUCUUCAAGGGCAUCACCUGACCGCACACACACACGCAUCACACAUACGCAUAGCGCCUCGCGAAAUCUUGAGCGAAUCGAACGGGGGUAGAGAAGAUCUAGCGACUCACCAGCCCGGGGGCUUGGUCGGGCAGCGCCAUGCCCAGCUUGGACCCCGCGUCGACGACCACCGCGUCGACGAGCACCAUCCGGAUCUGGAUCUGAGUCGAGUGGGAGAGAGAGGAGGGAACGAGGAUCUGAGGUGGGGAGGGGAGGUGUGGUANNNNNNNNNNNNNNNNNNNNNNNNNNNNNNNNNNNNNNNNNNNNNNNNNNNNNNNNNNNNNNNNNNNNNNNNNNNNNNNNNNNNNNNNNNNNNNNNNNNNNNNNNNNNNNNNNNNNNNNNNNNNNNNNNNNNNNNNNNNNNNNNNNNNNNNNNNNNNNNNNNNNNNNNNNNNNNNNNNNNNNNNNNNNNNNNNNNNNNNNNNNNNNNNNNNNNNNNNNNNNNNNNNNNNNNNNNNNNNNNNNNNNNNNNNNNNNNNNNNNNNNNNNNNNNNNNNNNNNNNNNNNNNNNNNNNNNNNNNNNNNNNNNNNNNNNNNNNNNNNNNNNNNNNNNNNNNNNNNNUGGAUCUGGCCAGAGGCAGGGAGGGGGUCGAGGCCGGAGGCAGGGGAGGGGGUCGAGGCCGGCGGCGAGCGGCUGUGGAUGGCGGCGACGGGAGGGAGGGAUCUGGAUCGGGAAACGCUAGGGUUCGCUGCGUGUGGGAGAGAGAGUUGUGGUGUGCGGGGAGAGAGGAGCUAGCAGUGGGUGGGUGUGCGUGGGUGAGAGGGUGAGGGGGUGUGGGCCGUUGGAUAUGAGGGUAUCCGACGGUUUCUGAUGCUUGAUCCGCGUGACAUGCUCAUAGAUCAAUCAGAACAAAGUAUAAGCUUUGACGACGUUAUGACCAUCUAAAUUUGUCGUAAGAUUAACAUAGGCGGCUGCUACCAGUCAGCCAGAUGAUUUUGUCUAUAAAACAUCUGCGGUGUGCCAAGAGCUCCAAUGCAGCACCACGGUGCCCGGCGAAGCUCCAUUGCAGUGUCGGGGAGCUCCAACGCAGCGCCACCCCUUCUCUUUUUAUGACAAUGUUUCAUACUAGGUGGGAUUUUUGUCGAUUCACUAGUAAGUCGGUCAAAUUUUAACUACAGCUACCUCAUAUUUUGUUCAAAUGAUCUCAUAUUGUGCACAAGGGUGCAUAUUGGAAUGGCAAACAAUGUUGCCUAAGGAAGUUUUCAUUUUCUUUGGGCGAAAAAAUCAUUUUUCAUUUUUCGAGCGCCCAAAAUGAGGUUUUUUUGUGAAGAACCUACCAAAUAAUUGUUGCAAAAUUGGACCAAAUCAAUUUUAUAAAAUGCUAGGUCAUAUUUAAUUCACAAUUGACCAAAUGGUUUGAUGUCAAAAGUUUUGAACCACCUCUGGUGAAAAAGACAAAUUUCCGUCGAUUUAGUAGGAAGCGGGUCAAAUUUGAACUGCAGCUGCCUCAAAGUUUGCUCUUUAAUUUUUCCAAAAAUCAUUUCUAGGUACAUAAAUAUCUAUUUAAUCAUAGAAACACAAAAAAAAUUCCAAGAUUCAACCACUAGCUAGGAACGGUCAUUCCCGCCGUUUUGACGACAUUUUGAAACGGGCAUAAAAAAUUCAAAAAUAAUCAAAAAAUUGGAAAACCUCCGCAUUGUUUCAUCAUAUGUGGCCAAGUUACCAGAAAAAAUUAUAAACUUGUAAUACGGCAAUUAUUUUAAAAAAAUGUUCUCAGAAAUGAGCUAUCAUGCGGGAAGAUUCAUGGCUUUCAAGCCAAAUGAUCACUCUUAUGGCCACAUUCAUGGCAUAGUUUGUUCAAAUGAUCCCAUAUUGUUCACAAGGGUGCAUCUUGGAAUUCCAAACUAUCUUGCCUAAGGGAGUUUUCACUUUCAUUGCAUGAAAGAGCCAUUUUCCAUUUUUGGAGUGCCCCAAAUGAGGUUUUUUUGUCAAGAACCUACCAAAUAAUUCUUGCAAAAUUGAACCAAAUCAUUUUUCUAAAAUACUAGGCCAUAUUUAAUGCACAAUUGACCAAAUGGUUGGGUGUAAAAAGUUUUGAUCCACCUCUAGUAAAAAAGACAAAUUUCUGCUGAUUUAGGUGGAACCGGGUCAAAUUUGAACAACAGCUACCUUAUUGUUUGCUCUUUAUUUUUUCCAAAAAUCAUUUCUAGUUAUCUAUUUAAUCAGAGAAAACACCAAAAAAAAUCCAAGAUUCAACAACUAGCUAAGAACGGUCAUGCCCGCCAUUUUGACAACAUUUUGAAACGGGCAUAAAAAAUUCAAGAAAAAUCAAAAAAUUGGAAAACCUUCGCAUUGUGUCAUUAUAUGUGACCAAGUUUCCAAGAAAAAUAAUAAACCUGUAAUAUGAGAAUUAUUUUUAAAAUGUAUUCUCAGAAAUGAGCUAUCAUGCAUGAAGAUUCAUGGCUUUCAAGCCAAAUGAUCAAUCUUAUGGCCACAUUCAUGGCAUAGUUUGUUCAAAUGAUCUCAUAUUGUGCACAUGGGUGCAUCUUGGAAUUCCAAACAAUGUUGCAUAAGGGAGUUUUCAAUUUCUUUGCAAGGAAAAUUCAUUUUCCAUUUUCUGAGUGCCUGAAAUGAGUUUUUUUUGUGAAGGACCUACCAUAUAUUUGUUGCAAAAUUGGACCUAACUAAUUUUAUAAAAUACUAGGCCAUAUUUAAUGCACAAAUGACCAAAUGGUUGGGUGUCAAAAGUUUUGAUCCACCUCUGGUGAAAACGACAAUUUUCCGCCGAUUCAGUUGGAAGCGGGUCAAAUUUGAACUAUAGCUGCCUCAUAGUUUGCUAUUUAUUUUUUCCAAAAAUCAUUUCUAGGUACAUAAAUAUCUAUUUAAUAAUAGAAACAUCAAAAGUUUUCCAAGAUUCAGCCACUAGCUAGGAACGGUCAAGCCCGUCGUUUUGACUGCAUUUUGAAACGGGCAUAAAAAAUUCAAAAAAAAAUGAAAAAAUUGGAAAACCUUCGCAUUGUGUCAUUAUAUGUGACCACGUUUACAGGAAAAAUAAUAACUAGUAAUACAGCAAUUAUUUUAAAAAAGUGUUCUCAGAAACGAGCUAUCAUGCGUGAAGAUGCAUGGCUUUCAAGCCAAAUGAUCAAUCUUAUGGCCACAUUCAUGACAUAGUUUGUUCAAAUGAUCUCAUAUUGUGCACAAGGGUGCAUCUUGGAAUUCCAAACAAUGUUGUCUCUAAGGGAAUUUUCAAUUUCUUUGCACGGAAAAUACAUUUUCCUUUUUCCGAGUGCCCGAAAUGAGUUUUUUUGUGAAGGACCUACCAUAUAUUUGUUGCAAAAUUGGACCUGACCAAUUUUAUAAAAUACUAGGCCAUAUUUAAUGCAUAAUUGACAAAAUGGUUGGGUGUCAAAAGUUUUGAUCCACCUCUGGUGAAAAAGACAAAUUUCCGCCGAUUUAGUAGGAAGCAGGUCAAAUUUGAACUGCAACUGCCUCAUAGUUUGCUUUUUAUUUUUUCCAAAAAUCAUUUCUAGGUACAUAAGUAUCUAUUUAAUAAGAGAAACAUCAAAUUUUUUCCAAGAUUCAACCACUAGCUAGGAACGGUCAAGCCCGCCGUUUUGACCGCAUUUUGAAACGGGCAUAAAAAAUUCAAAAAAAAUCAAAAAAUUGGAAAACCUUCGCAUUGUGUCAUUAUAUGUGACCAAGUUUCAAGGAAAAAUAAUAAACUUGUAAUACGACAAUUCUUUUUAAAAAGUGUUCUCAGGAACGAGCUAUCAUGCGUGAAGAUUCAUGGCUUUCAAGCCAAAUGAUCAAUCUUAUGGCCACAUUCAUGGUAUAGUUUGUUCAAAUGAUCUCAUAUUGUGCACAAGGGUGCAUCUUGGAAUUCCAAACAAUGUUGCUUAAGGGAGUUUUCAUUUUCUUUUCACGGAAAAUACAUUUCCCUUUUUCCGAGUGCCCGAAAUGAGUUUUUUGUGUGAAGGACCUACCAUAUAUUUGUUGCAAAAUUGGACCUAAUCAAUUUUAUAAAAUACCAGUCCAUAUUUAAUGCACAAUUGACAAAAUGGUUGGGUGUCAAAAGUUUUGAUCCACCUCUGGUGAAAAAGACAAAUUCCCGUCGAUUCAGCUGGAAGCGGGUCAAAUUUGAACUGCAGGUGCCUCAUAGUUUGCUCUUUGUUUUUUCCAAAAAUCAUUUCUAGGUAAAUAAGUAUCUAUUUAAUCAGAAAUACAUGGUUUGAUGGCGAGACAUCGAGGUUUGGACGGUGUCCGAGGGCUCCAACUCUAGAGCGCAUAAGCUCGCAUGCCCGCCGCGUGGUCACCGCGUGACCGUGGCGUUGCCAUGCGUUCUGGGUGGCCUAGGCAUGUCUAGUGGGUUGGACACUCCCCAGGUAGGUGCUAGGAAGAUAACAUAAGAUUCUCAUGAGGAGACCGAACUAUGCUCAAACAUGAAUUAGCAGCCAAGUGUUUGAUUAGCGGUACGGGAAAUGCACAUGGCCAAUGGGCAUGAGUUUUGGCUGAGGAUGAUCAUAUACUAAGAAGAAUGUCUUCACAAAUUUUUAGGGAAACCAAGAAUAUAUAAAUAACACUUCCUUCACAAAGUGCUGCUCUAAAUAGAAUAGGAAAAUGAAUAUUAUUGAGUUAUUUUUGAACUAGGCAAGGAAGAUUUUUGACAUAUUUGAUGAAGAUAUGAUCCAAAAAAUUUAAGAGAAUUUUUUGGGAAUUUUUGGAAUAACAGAAAUAUAGGUUGCUUCAAAACCUAGGGCAAAAAUUGACACAUGGACAUGACACAUAGGCAAAACUAAUGAGGUGGCGCCUAGUCAUAGCAAUAAGUACUAAUGCAUCCACGUUCACAACCUCGUGACCAUUUAUAUUGGUCGUAAUCAGGUAGAAAUAAGGUCAUGGACCACUCUUGUCUACUUUUAUGACCGUUUGGUCUAAGGCAAUUCAGGGUUUGAGCCCUUCGAAGCGAAAUGGCCGUGGAUUUACGACCAAUUCAGCUAGGGUCACUAAGAGAAGGUCACUAGUUGACAUAUUUCUUGUAGUGUACCGUGACCUAACGGAGGAGCGACAACCUCCCCCGCCGUCUGGAUCCCGCGAACAGAGUAACUCAUCGCCAGCACCAGCGCGCCCAACCGCCCUUGUGCAGCCCUCAGCACCAUCAUGUGAAGCCCAGCACAACCCCAUGUCACAGCAACAGCCCGGCCCGAUUGGAGCGACCCGUGGUGACCCCACCACGCAAGAGGGAUAAAGCGCCCCGCCGCAGCAGAUGCUGGUCGGGCUUUGCUCGCCAACACGAGCAGGCGGCAGCGAGGAGGGAGGAGGAGAAGGGGCUGCUGGUCGAAGACAGCUAGGGUUCCUCCCCUGCCGCCCACGGGAGCGAAAGAGGGAGGUGAUACGUCAAAUUUGCAUCAUGUUUUAUUACUGUUAUUUCUAGUGUUUUUAUUCAUUAUAGUACUUUGGGGAGUACUUCUAAUGCCCUUUCUCUCAUAAUUUGUAAGGUUUACACAAAGAGGGAGAUUACCGGCAACUGGAAUUCUAGACCUGAAAUAACAUAUCAGAGAUACCUCUUUUGUACGUCUCCAAAUGAGCUAAAAAAUUAUGGAGAUUUAUUUUGUAAUAUAAAAAAAUAUUGGAGUCAAAAGUUCCAGAGGGGGCCACAGAGGGUGUCCUGGAUUAGGGGGUAUCCGGACAGCCGGACCAUAUACAUCGUCCGGACUAUUGAAGUGUGAAGAUACAAGACUCAAGACUUCGGCCCGUGUCCGGAUGGGACUCUCCUUUGCGUGGAAGACAAGCUUGGCGAUCCGGAUAUUAUAUUUCCUUCCUUGUAACUGACUCGAUGUAAACCCUAACUCUCUCCGAUGUCUAUAUAAACCGGAGAGGAUGGUCCUUAGAAGGUCGAUCACAAUUACAAUCGUACCAUCAUAGGCUAGCUCUUAGGGUUUAGCCUCUACGAUCUCGUGGUAGAUCUACUCUUGUACUACACGCAUCUUCAAUAUUAAUCAAGCAGGAAGUAGGGUUUUACCUCCAUCGAGAGGGCCCGAACCUGGGUAAACAUUGUGUCCCUUGCUUCCUGUUACCAUGUACCUAAGACGCACAGAUCGGGACCCCCUACCCGAGAUCCACCAGUUUUGACACCGACAUUGGUGCUUUCAUUGAGAGUUCCUCUAUGUUGUCGCUUCGAGGCUCGAUGGCAUCUUCAAUCUCCAACAACACGGUCCAGGGCGAGACUUUUCUCCCCGGACAGAUCUUCGUGUUCGGCGGCUUCGCACUGCGGGCCAAUUCGCUUGGUCAUCUAGAGCAGAUCGACAGCUAUGCCCCUGGCCACCAGACCAGGUUCGGAAACUUGAACCACAAGGCGGAUAUUCGCGGAGACUUGAUCUUCGACGGAUUUGGGUCCGAGCCAGGAGCGCCGGACAGUCAUGACGAGCACAGCCUAGACAUGUUGUCGGACAAUGUUCGGGAUAUCAUCCCCGCAGUAGCCCUGGAUCUAAAUCAGGAGCAGGUCGCGUUUCCCAAGGACGGAGGGGUGGACCCCGCCCCACAGGCCGUAUACUCAUCGUCGAUGGAGCCGAACACAGGUCUCACCUCUGUUGAGGCCUGUAACCUUGGGCCCCCGGACUCGCAUCCGGUUGUUGGUUCUGGUCCGCACACCCUCGAGCCAGCCAAUCCAGGUUGGGCUCCGGUAAUGGAGUUUACCGCCGCGGACAUCUUUCAGCACUCGCCCUUUAGCGACAUGCUGAACUCAUUAAAGUCUCUCUCUUUGUCAGGAGGCUCUGGGCCGAACUAUGUCCGGCUUGAGUGGGAAGCCGGUGACGAAGGAAUUCGCUGCCCACCCACCACCCUCUACAUUGCCACGGUCGACGAUUUAACCAACGUGCUUAACUUCGACUCCGAAGACAUCGACGGUAUGGACGAUGAUGCAGGAGACGCACAGGAGCCACCGCUCAUAGGGCGGUGGAUAGCCGCCUCUUUAUACGAUAUUUAUAUGGUGGACACUCCGAAGGAAAUCAAUGGCGACGAGGCAGUGGAGGAUAACCCCUCAGGAAAAAAAGCAAAGCAUUGGCGUCUUCGGCGCCGCUCCAAGCCCCGCCACAUCAAUGACGGCCCCGGAGAUGAAAGCAAUCCGGAUGGUGCCGAAGAGGAAUACAACCCUGAUCAGCCUACCUUCAAGCAGGCCGGACCGGCCACGGUGGGAUACUUGGAGAGGGACAACUAUACACCCCCCCUCCGAAGACGAGGUAAGCCUCGACAAUGAUGAUUCGGCGUGCCUGAAGACCCAGUGGAACAAGUUCACUUUAAGCGACUGCUCAUAGCCACGGCAAGGAGUCUGCAAAGGAAGCAAGAGCAGCUUAAAGCUGACCAAGAUUUGCUAGCGGAUAGGUGGACCAAGAUCCUGGCCACCAAAAAGUACGGAUUCGACCGCCCUAACAAAGGGCAUAGAGGCACAACUGGCUACCUCAACCUAAGCAGGAGAACCAAAGGCACACAACCCGACGUCCACACACCAUUACGGUCCAAGACAGUAAGAAGGAUACACAAAGAGGCAUCCUCAAGCCUCGGUGCGAUGGUCAUAAAUGUCAAGUCAGGGAAGCUGGCGCCGAGUCCAGCAACCCCCAGCCCGGUCAACGGACAAAGAACAGCUCAAGCCUAUUCAGCCCGAGCCACAUACUUGAUCAACCAUGUGAAAUUCAUGGUACUCCUAGAAGGACGGCAAAGCAUACCAAUAGAGAAUGCCGGAUCCUCAAAACAAAGCGACCGGUCGUGUGCUAGAAACAAUGACGGGAGUCGUCUAGUCAAGAGACCCCCCCCCUAGAGCACAACAGUACGGCCGAUCGCCCCUAUCAUACAAACCACAACAAUUCAAUUGUCGUACCCCUAGACCUCGUAGUCCAGGGGCUCCAUAACACAUAAAGCCCGAGCGGGUAUGAAACCACGAAUAACACCUUCUAUAAGAUGUCUGGGGCAAGGGCCAAGUUCAUUGGCCCACCGCUCUAACGGUUGUUUUCAGGUAACCAAAAAAUGCCACGUCAUCGGCAUAUUCCCCCCAUACGGUAACCCACCAUCUGCUAACGGGACAAACCACACUGACUAGAUCCCACGUGGUAAACCAUUAGGCCAACACCAGUGAUAUACUCACGCCUACGUGCAAAGUCAAACCCCGCCUUUAGAAUGGAAAUCAUACAGCUGCCGGAGUAGCAAGUCAUGCAUGCCUAUCAAAAUUUUGAUAUGACAACCAACUAUCCGGACACCAAUUGAGGAGCCCGUGCUGCUUCACAGUAUAGCGGCUGGGGUCACCAGGGUCCGAUCAGGAACCUUUAGACCAACCACAAGAGGACGUUCGGCUACCUCCAAACAUUUACCUUCGCAAACUGCCUUUUAUGCAGAACAGGAUUGGUGGCGCGGAAUUGGCCUGGACACACAAAGACAGGACCAUGCAGGUAGAAGGCAGUCCGGGUUCACUUUCGAUCCACUCACAGCCCCCUACAGUCCGGCCAUCUUAGGUUCCGCCAAACACCAUCUCUUUUCAUAAUCAUAAAUAGCACUCAUAUGCAUAGCCAUAUUAUCCUGCUACAAUGCGUAGACUUCAAUAACAUGCACCGACCGUCGUUUAUCAUCGACGCCUCUUUGCCACAAAACGGCAGCCACGCUUCCUGUUACGCCCGGUUAUGCCAGGGGCUUCACAAUACGGCAACAAAGUCCGACCACCUUUUCGGUCGCUCGGCACCCCAAACUUAUAGCACUAUAUGCAUCAGCUCUGAAUCAUGUCUUGGGUCAUUGGUUGGGUUUUCCUGGCUCCCAUGUUUUGGUACCUUAUGUUCCGUUCUGUCGGCUAAGGUAGCAAUGGGAGAACUACUUCGAUUGUGUCCCGGUUCAGCCGGACGAGCACCUCAGUAGAGAAAGCCGAAAACCGACUUUCAUGAUGUAGUGAGAGCUGGUCAGCUGUUCGAGAGGUUGUAAAAUCCUUAAAGAUUUAUUCCGCAUAACACCAUCAUAAAUGCAGACUGCGACGAAUCGGUCUUCCGCUAAGGCGCCAAUAGAGCCCCUAGUUCGGCCUUCUGAACACCAGGGGUUGCGCCGACCAUACUCAAUUCCUAUGGCUAAGUGAGAGUAGUAAAG